UGGUCGAGGUGCGGGCUGGACCGACACCCUCGGGAGCCGCCACGCCCGCGCUGCCCCUGCCCGCACCUGCCCGCGCUCGGUGCCCGCGCCCGUCCCGACCGGGGGACACGGGGCAGCGCAGCCCCCGACGGGGCGGGUGAUGAGGGACCUCGGGCCUCCAUCUCGCUUCCGCAAGGCACUUCCAUGUUUCCGCGCACCCUUUUGCCAAUUGCUAGUUUUCACCUCUUAUUUUUCCUGUCAGGAAUCACAUGGGAAAGGCCUCUCUCUCCCCCUGACCCAUGCCCACCAUUUCACAGGGCGAACCGCGGUGAGCCGGUGCCCGGAGCACCGGGCUGGGGGUGAGAAGCUCCGAAACGCUGCGGGUUUGCCCGGGGUGGGAAACGGGACGGACUCUGCCCCCGCCUGUGAAUCUGUGCAGGAAGUACGGGGAGCAGGUUGAAGGCCAGACAAGGGGUCCGCUGCCCCAGGUGUCCCCGGCCAGGAAGUUCCAGCUGGGGGUAUCGGCCCAGCUCCCUCCUUCUCCGGGACAGCGCUGGACACGGAGAAGAGCGGCCGGCGGCCCCUGGGUCGGCAGGGCAGAUCCGGAGAUCCCUAAUUUGGGCAUAAAAACACUUAAGGACAAGAUUGAAGGCUUUCCGAGAGAUCUGGACAGAAGUCAAAGCUAUCAUUCGGAGUUUCAGGCUGGAAGUGCCCUGCUGACAGCGGGAGGAUCCCGAGGUCCCAGUGGUCCCGCUCGCCCCUUCGCGCUCCCGCCGCCGCCGCCUCGCAUCCCCCGCUCCCGGGAAGCGCUGCCCGCACCUCCGGCCUUAUCGAUGCUCCGCGCUUUUCCGUUGCUAAACUCUGCCUGGCGUUAGACUUAGAAAAAAGAAAUUAAAUAAUAAUAUUGGUCUCGCUCGUGUGCUCCUGUCCCGUAAUUUUUCCAGCAGGUACUGCUCCAAGAGUAACUUUAAAUGCAAAAGGGAUGGGACAUGCCUGUGGGGGAAAAGUCUGGCGUAGCCUCGGACCAGCGUGGUGCUUUUUCAGUCACAAAUGAAGGACGUUAAAAGUAUAUUAAAAUGGUAAAGAUUUUAUUGUAUCGGAAAAAAGGAACUAUCUGUACAAUUCUAAGAGACAGUAAAUAAAGCGACAUUGUCCCUAUCGGAACUUAAAUAGCAGGCCUUUUAAAAUUUGUACAAUUCAAACAAAACCAGGUCUUAAAUCUGUACAUUUUUUUUUAAUUUAUAGUGUAAUAUUUAAAUGUAUUGAUUUUGGGAUUUGUCCUUUUUUGUUUCCAUAGCAUGCAAAAAAUUCUAAAAAGAGUAAAAAAUAAUUCUAGGAUUUUUUAAAUUUUUCUUUUUUUUUUGUUUUGUUACCACCUUCAUAUCAAAAAUACGAAAGGCAGCUUUUUAAUAAAAGCACAACAAUAGCAGAAAAUGGUAAAAAUAGCUUUUAAUUGGUAAAAUGAGGCAGAAAUUGCAUUGGAGACAAAUCUCUAUGCUCUAGGAAAAAAGAAAGUAUAUAUUUUUCAACUUGCAUUAUAACCCAGCCCCAAGUUCCCAAGAUUGCGAAAGAAAAAAUAUUUUUAAAAGGAAAAAAAAUUAGUUCGUGCACAUCUGAAACAUGCAAGGAAAGGAAAGAGGCUAAUUUUUUGCUGUUGCCGUUUUAAGCCUAACUUAAAUCUUCUCUAAAGCGGUUUGUUUCGGAAGUCUUUGAAAACAACUGCUUUCCCAAACAUCUGUUGGAAGCCAGGUUUAUUCCAAGGUUAUGCGUCUCCCUUAUAGAUAAAACAAUCAUCACUGAUAGCUAUUAAAAAAAAUAAUCAAAA